rnacentral:rRNA from 1 species
GGAAAGGAGAGGUUAACCACUUCCGUGAAAUUGUUGAAAAGGGGAAGCGCUUGCGGACCCAGACUUGCCCGCGGGGUGAUUCAACCCGGUGUUCUUCACCCGGUGCACUCCGCCCGUGGUUGGGCCACCACCGGUUCGGGCGGUCCGGAUCAAGGCUCCCCCGAAUGUGACUCCCUCCGCCGAGUGUUAUAGCCGCGGGUCUCAUCCCCCCGCCUGGCCCCGACGCCCCGCUUCGUGCUAGGAUGCUGGCCAUAAUGGUCGUAAGCGCCCGUCCGAAACCCGGACCAAAGAGUCUAACGUCUAUGCGAGGUUCGGGUGUCAAACCCCGUGCGCGUAAUGAAAGUGAACGGAGGUGGGAACCCGCAAGGGUGCACCAUCGACCGAUCCUGAUGUCUUCGGAUGGAUUCGAGUAAGAGCAUAGCUGUUGGGACCCGAACGAUGGUGCCUAUGCCUGAAUAGGGUGAAGCCAGAGGAAACUCUGGUGGACGCUCCCAGCGGUUCUGACGGCAAAUCGAUCGUCAAAUUUGGGUAUAGGGGCGAAAGCCUAAUCGAACCAUCUAACCGUGCCUACUAGAUGGCACACGGGCCCACGAGGUCCCAGUAGUCUGUCGCGGGGAUCUCCCCGUGUCGGGCGACACUGUCAGUCUCUCGGGGACGCCCCAUCUGGCCACCCCGCAGUGAGUUCCUC